rnacentral:rRNA from 1 species
UACAGAGGGUGCAAGCGUUGUUCGGAAUUAUUGGGCGUAAAGCGCGUGUAGGCGGCCUCUCAAGUCGGGUGUGAAAGCCCGGGGCUCAACCCCGGGAUGCCGCUCGAAACUGGGAGGCUUGAGGACGGAAGAGGGGAGUGGAAUUCCUGGUGUAGCGGUGAAAUGCGCAGAUAUCAGGAGGAACACCAAUGGCGAAGGCAGCACUCUGGGACGUGACUGACGCUGAGACGCGAAAGCGUGGGGAGCAAACAGG